UACGUAGGGUGCGAGCGUUGUCCGGAAUUAUUGGGCGUAAAGGGCUCGUAGGCGGUCUGUUGCGUCGGGAGUGAAAACUCAGGGCUUAACCCUGAGCCUGCUUCCGAUACGGGCAGACUAGAGGUAUGCAGGGGAGAACGGAAUUCCUGGUGUAGCGGUGAAAUGCGCAGAUAUCAGGAGGAACACCGGUGGCGAAGGCGGGUCUCUGGGCCGAUACUGACGCUGAGGUGCGAAAGCGUGGGGAGCAAACAGG
rnacentral:rRNA from 1 species